ACGCUGGCGGCACGCCUAACACAUGCAAGUCGAACGAAGUAGCAAUACUUAGUGGCAGACGGGUGAGUAACAUGUAGGUAUCUGCCCUUUGGCCUGGAAUAACACGAGGAAACUUGUGCUAAUACCGGAUAAGUCUUUACGGAGAAAGCUUUAUGCACCAUUGGAUGAGCCUGCACUUGAUUAGUUUGUUGGUGGGGUAAUGGCCUACCAAGACUGUGAUCAAUAGCUGAUUUGAGAGGAUGAUCAGCCACAUUGGGACUGAGACACGGCCCAAACUCCUACGGGAGGCAGCAGUGGGGAAUCUUGCACAAUGGAGGAAACUCUGAUGCAGCGAUGCCGCGUGAGUGAAGAAGGCCCUUGGGUUGUAAAGCUCUUUCGUCGGGGAAGAAAAUGACUGUACCCGAAUAAGAAGGUCCGGCUAACUUCGUGCCAGCAGCCGCGGUAAUACGAAGGGACCUAGCGUAGUUCGGAAUUACUGGGCUUAAAGAGUUCGUAGGUGGUUGAAAAAGUUAGUGGUGAAAUCCCAGAGCUUAACUCUGGAACUGCCAUUAAAACUUUUCAGCUAGAGUAUGAUAGAGGAAAGCAGAAUUUCUAGUGUAGAGGUGAAAUUCGUAGAUAUUAGAAAGAAUACCAAUUGCGAAGGCAGCUUUCUGGAUCAUUACUGACACUGAGGAACGAAAGCAUGGGUAGCGAAGAGGAUUAGAUACCCUCGUAGUCCAUGCCGUAAACGAUGUGUGUUAGACGUUGGAAAUUUAUUUUCAGUGUCGCAGGGAAACCGAUAAACACACCGCCUGGGGAGUACGACCGC
rnacentral:rRNA from 1 species